UAAACAAGAAGACAAAAAAGAAGAAAGAUGAUAAUAAAGCCAAUUAGAAGAACACAAGUGCGCAAUCCAUGAUAAAAGGAACUGGGCACAAAGAACCUCAAUUCGGCAGUUUAUCUUGACCAAUUAGACUGAGACAAGUUUUGCAUGUUUUAGUUGGUAUAACCAAUUACGCCUUAUGUUUAUGUGCGUGUACAGAGAUGGUAUAACCAAUUAUGCCUUAUGUUUAUGCGCGUGUACAGAGAUGGUAUAACCAAUCAUAUUCUAUGCUUGUGCACAUGUACAAUGACUUUGCAGAAUAUGUGAUUAUAAAUAUGUGUGUGUUUUAGCAAUAAAGGGUCGUCUGUUGUCUGCUUUCAACUUUACAGGCGUCCGUUUAUUUCUACCUCCUGCAAAUGGUGACCCCGAUGUGGCCCUGAGAGCGCAGAAGACGCGGCAGGAGAAGCCCUGGUUGGAGGUACUGCUGUCGGCGGGACCGAAGCAGGGAAGCUGAGCCUAGGCUAAGGAGACACCUGAAAGGAAGAUCAUGGAACAAGAUGGGUACCAGCAAAGUGGGUAAAACCCUGGACAGGCGUUACAUCCUUGGAAAAACACUGAACCUAAAAGGACUCCUCCUCGCUGUUAUGGGUGACACACAUAAGGGAAGAAUGGAUCAUCCAACAACCAAAACAGAAUGUAUGGGUAACCUUGGCGAACAUAACGCAUCAAGAAUCUAUCUAUUUUGCUUGUAUAUAGAAAUGCUACAGCUGCGUGUAACUAUAUUCCAGAAUAUCAUGCUCUUUUUCUAUUCCAGCUGUUUUACCUGCGGGGAUGUUUUUAAUUCACGGGGAUAGAGCGUGGGGGGGGGAAUUCCAUCGAAACUUAACGGGAGGCCAUGUAGCCUCAGACGACUUAUGUUACUAACACCCGAUAUCAAUAUGAUUCACAGUAAAAAGGCUCACGAUAACUGACACAGGGUUAAGUGGAUAGCUAGUAAGUUUGGGAAUUAUGGGAUGAUGAAAAGAUUUGCUUAUGCAUGGCUUAGUUAUUCUAAAUGUAGUAUUAGCAGUUGUAAUAAUUGUACCAUAUAUUAUAAAAAUAGUUGAACGUAUGAUUGCAAAAGCAUUUCAUGUAACUUGGCUUG